rnacentral:ncRNA from 1 species
GGAACUUGUACGCGUUGCGGUGCAACCAUGGUUAAAGA